GAGUAGCAUCGUAGUGACCUGCGGAGGAUCAUUAUUGAAACUCAAAGGGGCUGUGGUGGUGGUCCUGCGCACCGGUGGCAACGCCGUUGUUGCGCGCCCCCCGCGCCUCAUCCACACUCAAACCCUUGUGCACCUUUGGGGGAAGGCGGGUUCGCGCCCGUCGGCCCCUUCAUUCACAGACUCUGUCUAUUAGAAUGUAACACGCGGCGAAAGCCGUUUGGAACUAUAAAACAACUUUCAACAACGGAUCUCUUGGCUCUCGCAUCGAUGAAGAACGCAGCGAAAUGCGAUAAGUAAUGUGAAUUGCAGAAUUCAGUGAAUCAUCGAAUCUUUGAACGCACCUUGCGCCCCUUGGUAUUCCGAGGGGCAUGCCUGUUUGAGUGUCUUGAAAUCAUCAAGCCGUCGGGUUCGUUCCCGCGUCUUGGACUUGGGGGCUCUUGCUGCCGUGAGGCGGCUCCCCUUAAAUCCAUCGGUCGGCUCCUGCUUGAGCGCGUCCUGGCGUUGUACACACCUCGCUGGAUAAGCUGCCCUUGUGGACCGGCCCCGACCUGCUGCAGAGUGGCGGUCACAUACUUUGAAAUCUGACCUCAAAUCAGGUAGGACUACCCGCUGAACUUAAGCAUAUCAAUAAGCGGAGGAAAAGAAACUAACAAGGAUUCCCCUAGUAACUGCGAGUGAAGCGGGAAGAGCUCAAAUUUGAAAUCUGGCGUCUCCGACGUCCGAGUUGUAAUCUGGAGAAGCGUUUUCCGUGCUGGACCGUGUACAAGUCUCCU
rnacentral:rRNA from 1 species